rnacentral:rRNA from 1 species
GAUCCUGGCUCAGGAUGAACGCUAGCUACAGGCUUAACACAUGCAAGUCGAGGGGCAGCAUUUCAGUUUGCUUGCAAACUGGAGAUGGCGACCGGCGCACGGGUGAGUAACACGUAUCCAACCUGCCGAUAACUCGGGUAUAGCCUUUCGAAGAAAGAUUAAUACCGAUGGUAUAAUCAGACCGCAUGGUCUUGUUAUUAAAGAAUUUCGGUUAUCGAUGGGGAGUGCGUUCCAUUAGGCAG